rnacentral:rRNA from 1 species
UACGUAGGGGGCUAGCGUUGUCCGGAUUUAUUGGGCGUAAAGAGCGUGUAGGCGGCCAGGUAGGUCCGUUGUGAAAACUCGAGGCUCAACCUCGAGACGUCGGCGGAAACCCUCUGGCUAGAGUCCGGAAGAGGAGAGUGGAAUUCCUGGUGUAGCGGUGAAAUGCGCAGAUAUCAGGAAGAACACCCGUGGCGAAGGCGGCUCACUGGCUCGGUACUGACGCUGAGGUGCGAAAGCGUGGGGAGCAAACAGG